GACGGAGGGGGCUAGCGUUGUUCGGAAUUACUGGGCAUAAAGCGUGCGUAGGCGGCCUUUCAAGUUGGGUGUGAAAGCCCGGGGCUUAACCCCGGAAAUGCGCCCAAGACUGUUUGGCUAGAGACCGGGAGAGGUGAGUGGAACUCCCAGUGUAGAGGUGAAAUUCGUAGAUAUUGGGAAGAACACCAGUGGCGAAGGCGGCUCACUGGACCGGUACUGACGCUGAGGCACGAAAGCGUGGGGAGCAAACAGG
rnacentral:rRNA from 1 species